CCUCCAUUUCAAUAACAUCCUGGAAAGGACAAAACUACAGCAAUCAAGAAGAGGUCACUGAUCUGGCAUUGCUAUAGCUAUGGCAUAGGUCAAAGCUGCAGCUUAGACUGAAUCCCUAGCCUGGGAACUUUCAUAUGCUCCAGGUUUGGCCACUGGGGGAAAAAAAAAAAAGAACAGAGCAUUGAUUUUCAGCAGUUGAGGAAGAGGGGGCAGCAUGAGGAACUUUAGGGGAUGAUGGAGCUGAUGGAACCCUGAUUUGGCAGUAGUUAUACAAAUCCAUAUAUGUUAAAAUUCAUGGAACCAUCCACCAAGUCAACUUUAUGUUGAUUUAAAAAAAAAAUAAGUCAAAUGAAGAUUAAGUGGAUGAUCUCCAUGCAUCCUUCCAGACUAUGAUUUUAUGAAUGAGAAAAAGAGAGGAGAGUGAAAGACAGGCAGAAUGCUAAAUCCUACCGCCAUAAAAGCCACUAGUCAUAAGAACCUCCUGAUUACUGCACAAAAUAAAGCAAAUUCAAUCCUCAGAAAUUCACUCCCAGAAGAGGCUAAGAAAACCAGACAUUCAGAUCCAAAAUGUGUAUAUUUAAAAAUGCCUAUGAAUGGCUCUACUUGUCCGUUUCCAUAUUUUACACUUUCAAGAAGGUGCCAAUUUCUCCUGGCUAAGUGCCGAUUGCCCUGCUUGGGGUUACUCAACUUACAAGCAUUUCUUUAUUUAUACCUUAUACUCUCACUUAACGAUAAGGUCCCUUUGGCAAUCACAGUAAAGGCUCUACAAAAGCAGUUGCUUUUGCAGGGUGCUGAACGGAUCAGAGCUCCUCACCCGGAACUAGGGUCCCUGAGGGACGCGACACACCCUUCACUCGUUCCAGACAUGAGGACGCUAGGUCUUCCUCAUUAAUCAGAAAGCGUCCCCCACCGCCAACGCGCCCCAAAAGAGGCGGCCGCUGGGGGCCGGGCUCUGGGGCACUUCUCCCUUCUCGGAACUGCGUGGCUGCCUGGGGUGCAGCUGACCAAUUUGAGGACUGCCCCGGGGCGGAACGUGCGCCUUCGAAGGUUCUGCACGGACUCCUUGGUUCUUCAGAGGCAGAAGAGUUGCAGUCACCCUGAUUUUUAUGAUAUCCUGGACUUCAAACCAAUUCCAUCAAAGAUACAUGAGUUGUGGUGGCUGGGCUGAGGUGAAGAUUCUGGUGGAUGGUCUCCAAGAUGAUUGCCAUUAACUCCAUCCCUCCCUAUAGAUGCAUAUGCUCCUCAUAGCAAGAGGUAUUGUGCCAGGCACUGGGAAUCCAACAGUGAACAUGCAGGCUGAUCCCUCUCUUCAUGGACUCUGAGUUGGCUGGAGGUCCUGUCCUUUCUGCUGAUGAGCUCAGGAGGCCAUGCCACAUGGAUGCUGCUGAGGACCAUUCCAGAAGUGGGCAACAGUAUCCUCAGAGUAGCUGCCUGCUCCUUCUCAAAUUUCCAGUCUUUCUCCAUCUCUCCCUUCCUCUAACCUUUGAAAUAUUAGUAGAAUCAUCCAAAGAUUUUACUUCCAAGAAUUCAAAGGAUUGAGACUGUGGAGUCAGCUUACUGUCUUUAUAAUGUCUGAUUGAUGCACCAUCUUGUAACACAUUAUCAGACCCCCUUUUUACGUGAUUAUUAUGUGAUCAUCAGGUUGAUCAUUUUUUCCUGUACUUAGGACAAUUUUUGCUUUUUACAUAGUUCUUUGGCUUAUUUCUGUUUCCUGUAUAUAUUCUUCCCUCAUUAUACUGAGAGAAAUAGAUACUUAUACUUUAUGCUCUUGGGGAAGGGGAAAUUCCUCCCUUUGCCCCUCUUGAAUUCCUGUGGGACUAAUGAUAAAAUUGACACAAAACAGGUUAACAGGCAAAAAAGAAAUAAAUUUUAAAUCAUAUACAUGGAGGUCCCAUAGGAAUGGGAUCUAAGAAGUGGCCAAAGCAGGCAACUUUUAUACAUUUUAGAUGAAACCAAAUAAAUUUGAGAGCAAUUGACAGGUCAAAGAAACUUAGGUUUGGGAUGCUCAGUUAGUGAAGAAUCUAAUUGGUCUUGGAGUAGUCAAUUAAAGAAGUAACUAGGUUUGUUUAUAUAACCUUCCUGGUCUGAAUGCUUCACCGCUGGUAAUAAGGGUGUCCUUCUACCUCCAGAGGCAGCAAGUGUACCUGUCACAUAGGAGAUUUAGUUUCUCCUUUAGGGGGACAAAGGGGAGGAUCAGAGUGUCCCUCUUUACAUUGGCUCAUCCUUAAGUAACUUUACUUCAAAAUCUCUACAUGCCCUUGAGGCACAUUUUGGGGUAGCUUGCCCUGAACCCCAGAAAUGCACAAAAUAUACUUACUACAAGAAACAAAGCAGCCAAAAAUAUUAAAACUUACUUUGAAAAUUUAAAAGAAUUAAUUUUUUUAUAUAUUUAGCCUCCUUUUGUGUUAUAAUUACCUUUUUAUGUAGUUUUUAAAAAUGUUUCACUUUGACUCAUGGACUUUACAAAUGUUAUAAUUAACUGUUAUUACUGGAGUUCCUGUCAUGGCUCAGCGGUUAAUGAACCUGACUGGCAUCCAUGAGGACUCGGGUGCGAUCCCUGGCCUU